UGUGCCUCCGCGACCUCAUCUGUAAAAUGGGGAUUAAGACUGUUAGCCUCACGUGGGACAACCUGAUCACCCUGUAUCUACCCCAGUGCUUAGAACAGUGCUCCGCACAUAGUAAGCGCUUAACAAAUUACCAACAUUAUUAUUAUUACUACUAAUAAAAGAAGAAGGAAAGGUAAAAUCCCCCACGGAGCCCUAAGGGUUGACUAUAGUUUUGACAUGCAAAAGUUGGGGCCUCCAAGUGCAAAAUCACAUCUGGGGGUUUGCCAGACCAAAAAUACUGAAGGCUGAGACUUCAAUGGCUCCUUUCCACCCUCAGCCGUGCCUUAUACCCCGGGUUCCUGCCCUGCCCAAGGUGGGAGAGUGACGAUGACUGGGAGAUGGCGGCCGAAUCCCAGGGAGUCCUGGGCCACCUCAGCCCUGCUCAGAAGGACCUCUACGGGGACAUCGCGUCAGGAGCACCAGGCGAAUGAGAUCCCUCUACGGUUUCUGAGAUCCAGAGCGAGAACGAGGAGCAGAAUCUGGACCGGGAAACAUCUGAGGAAGCGGUCCUGCCUCGGGCCCUUAUUAGAAAACUCCAAAGACGGUGUUUUCCCAGGUCCUCUCCUGGAGAAAGACUGCCGAGGACGAAUGCGAGUUAGAACCACCACUGGCAGGUUUCCCCGGAGAGACGGUGGGGGAAAGCCACCCUCGAAGAGGGCUUAGGGGAAACUCAUAGACCAGCAGGGACUCUACCUGGUGGUCGACCAAACCCUAUAAAUGUGGGGAGUGCGUGAAGAGCUUUAGCCGAGCUCCCAUUUCAUCGCCCACCAAAGAAUCCACACGGGGGAGAAAACCCUAUAAAUGGCUUAGAAUUGUGGGGAAAAGCUUCAGUGAUCCGCUCGAACCUUCAAUACCCACCAGAGGAUCCACACGGGAGAGAAGCCCUACAAAUGUCUCGAGUGUGGGGAAGAGCUUCAGCGACCACUCGAAUCUCGUGGGCGCACCAGAGGAUUCCCACACGGCCGAGGAAAACCGUACACAAA
rnacentral:lncRNA from 1 species